rnacentral:rRNA from 1 species
CCUACGGGAGGCAGCAGUGGGGAAUCUUGGACAAUGGGGGCAACCCUGAUCCAGCGAUGCCGCGUGAGUGAAGAAGGCCCUCGGGUCGUAAAGCUCUUUAGGUUGGGAAGAAGUGCACGGGCUGAAUAAUCCCGUGUGUUGACGGUACCGACAGAAUAAGCACCGGCAAACUCUGUGCCAGCAGCCGCGGUAAU